GGAGGAUUUUGUGUGGGAGUGUCUGACUGUAUUGUACGUGUUAUUGGUUGUUCUGUAAAACCCUGUGGGCAGUACUAAGUUUGUGGAUUGGGAAUAAAAGAGGCUGUAUGUGCCAGUCCAGUCAGUUCCUGCUUAACCCUCAAAGUGAAGUGUCAUCUCAUUAUUGGGGGAGGAUUUAUUGUAUGCUGUUCCAGUUUGACUGCUAGGAGUGUAAACCUAUUCGCAUGUUUUUUCCUAUUCAGCUGUAUACAACAUUCAUAUGCUUGAGAGCAUUCAUAU
rnacentral:lncRNA from 1 species